rnacentral:rRNA from 1 species
CCUACGGGAGGCAGCAGUGGGGAAUAUUGGACAAUGGGGACAACCCUGAUCCAGCCAUGCCGCGUGAGUGAAGAAGGCCCUAAGGUUGUAAAGCUCUUUCGCCAGGGAAGAUAAUGACGGUACCUGGUAAAGAAGUCCCGGCUAACUCCAUGCCAGCAGCCGCGGUAAU